rnacentral:rRNA from 1 species
AAAUUGAAGAGUUUGAUCAUGGCUCAGAUUGAACGCUGGCGGCAGGCCUAACACAUGCAAGUCGAACGGUAACAGGAAGAAGCUUGCUUCUUUGCUGACGAGUGGCGGACGGGUGAGUAAUGUCUGGGAAACUGCCUGAUGGAGGGGGAUAACUACUGGAAACGGUAGCUAAUACCGCAUAACGUCGCAAGACCAAAGAGGGGGGACCUUCGGGCCUCUUGCCAUCGGAUGUGCCCAGAUGGGAUUAGCUAGUAGGUGGGGUAACGGCUCACCUAGGCGACGAUCCCUAGCUGGUCUGAGAGGAUGACCAGCCACACUGGAACUGAGACACGGUCCAGACUCCUACGGGAGGCAGCAGUGGGGAAUAUUGCACAAUGGGCGCAAGCCUGAUGCAGCCAUGCCGCGUGUAUGAAGAAGGCCUUCGGGUUGUAAAGUACUUUCAGCGGGGAGGAAGGGAGUAAAGUUAAUACCUUUGCUCAUUGACGUUACCCGCAGAAGAAGCACCGGCUAACUCCGUGCCAGCAGCCGCGGUAAUACGGAGGGUGCAAGCGUUAAUCGGAAUUACUGGGCGUAAAGCGCACGCAGGCGGUUUGUUAAGUCAGAUGUGAAAUCCCCGGGCUCAACCUGGGAACUGCAUCUGAUACUGGCAAGCUUGAGUCUCGUAGAGGGGGGUAGAAUUCCAGGUGUAGCGGUGAAAUGCGUAGAGAUCUGGAGGAAUACCGGUGGCGAAGGCGGCCCCCUGGACGAAGACUGACGCUCAGGUGCGAAAGCGUGGGGAGCAAACAGGAUUAGAUACCCUGGUAGUCCACGCCGUAAACGAUGUCGACUUGGAGGUUGUGCCCUUGAGGCGUGGCUUCCGGAGCUAACGCGUUAAGUCGACCGCCUGGGGAGUACGGCCGCAAGGUUAAAACUCAAAUGAAUUGACGGGGCCCGCACAAGCGGUGGAGCAUGUGGUUUAAUUCGAUGCAACGCGAAGAACCCACCGGGUCUUGACAUCCACGGAAGUUUUCAGAGAUGAGAAUGUGCCUUCGGGAACCGUGAGACAGGUGCUGCAUGGCUGUCGUCAGCUCGUGUUGUGAAAUGUUGGGUUAAGUCCCGCAACGAGCGCAACCCUUAUCCUUUGUUGCCAGCGGUCCGGCCGGGAACUCAAAGGAGACUGCCAGUGAUAAACUGGAGGAAGGUGGGGAUGACGUCAAGUCAUCAUGGCCCUUACGACCAGGGCUACACACGUGCUACAAUGGCGCAUACAAAGAGAAGCGACCUCGCGAGAGCAAGCGGACCUCAUAAAGUGCGUCGUAGUCCGGAUUGGAGUCUGCAACUCGACUCCAUGAAGUCGGAAUCGCUAGUAAUCGUGGAUCAGAAUGCCACGGUGAAUACGUUCCCGGGCCUUGUACACACCGCCCGUCACACCAUGGGAGUGGGUUGCAAAAGAAGUAGGUAGCUUAACCUUCGGGAGGGCGCUUACCACUUUGUGAUUCAUGACUGGGGUGAAGUCGUAACAAGGUAACCGUAGGGGAACCUGCGGUUGGAUCACCUCCUUACCUUAAAGAAGC